rnacentral:rRNA from 1 species
UACGUAGGGAGCAAGCGUUGUUCGGAUUUACUGGGCGUAAAGGGCGCGUAGGCGGCAAUUCAAGUCAGCUGUGAAAUCUCCGGGCUUAACUCGGAACGGUCAGCUGAUACUGCUUUGCUAGAGUGCGGAAGGGGCAAUCGGAAUUCUCGGUGUAGCGGUGAAAUGCGUAGAUAUACGGAGGAACACCAGGGGCGAAGGCGGAUCGCUGGGCCAACACUGACGCUGAGACGCGAAAGCUAGGGGAGCAAACGGG